GCUAGAAUAUAUUGUCAUGACAAUUGCUGUUAGUUCAGCAGAGGCGGAAAGUGGGGUUCUCAAAAAUGAACCUUAUAUGUUCAAAGCAAAAGAACACACCUAAUUGUUCCAAACAUAAGUAAUCUGAUGGUGAUAAGUGUUGUUGGCAUACCUGUUGAGAGAUGGGACUCAAUUCCUGCAGUAAAAGUUUGGCUCAGAGCGCACCACCACACAGCUGAUGAUCCACAAGUAAAGACCAGGAAAACUGCAACAGAGGAAUCUGGAAGCCUAAAAACAGUAUGGAAAUAUCAACAACCAGGAAAGCAAUAAUACAAGUUGUUGGAGCAAAGUGAUAAGAUGGUGUGCAGAAAACUGUCAAGCUAGUGAGAUCUUUCCUCUGUUAUUGGAGCAAGGUAGUGAGGUGGUGGUGCAGAAGACGCA